AGUGAACGCUGGCGGUAGGCCUAACACAUGCAAGUCGAACGGCAGCACAGUAAGAGCUUGCUCUUACGGGUGGCGAGUGGCGGACGGGUGAGGAAUACAUCGGAAUCUACUUUUUCGUGGGGGAUAACGUAGGGAAACUUACGCUAAUACCGCAUACGACCUACGGGUGAAAGCAGGGGAUCUUCGGACCUUGCGCGAUUGAAUGAGCCGAUGUCGGAUUAGCUAGUUGGCGGGGUAAAGGCCCACCAAGGCGACGAUCCGUAGCUGGUCUGAGAGGAUGAUCAGCCACACUGGAACUGAGCCACGGUCCAGACUCCUACGGGAGGCAGCAGUGGGGAAUAUUGGACAAAGGGCGCAAGCCUGAUCCAGCCAUCCCGCGUGGGUGAAGAAGGCCUUCGGGUUGUAAAGCCCUUUUGUUGGGAAAGAAAAGCAGCAGGUUAAUACCCCGCUGUUCUGACGGUACCCAAAGAAUAAGCACCGGCUAACUUCGUG
rnacentral:rRNA from 1 species